GGGGUUGUGGCUCAGUGGUAGAGCUCUUGCCUUGCAGAUGUGAGGCCCUGGGUUCAAUCCCCAGCACCA
rfam:Ictidomys tridecemlineatus contig010917, whole genome shotgun sequence.